GACGAACGCUGGCGGCGUGCUUAACACAUGCAAGUCGAACGGAAAGGCCCCUUUGGGGGUACUCGAGUGGCGAACGGGUGAGUAAGACGUGAGUAACCUGCCCUUGGCUUCGGGAUAACUUCAGGAAACUGGGGCUAAUACCGGAUAGGAAUCCUUGCUGCAUGGUGGGGGUUGGAAAGUUUUGGAGGUUUUGGAUGGACUCGCGGCUUAUCAGCUUGUUUGUGGGGUAGUUGGUUACCAAGGGUGUGACGGGUGGGCGGCCUGGGAGGGCGACCGGCCACAAUAGGACUGCGGGAGGGACCAGACGCCUACGGGAGGCAACAGUGGGGAGUAUUGCACAAGGAGCGGGAGCGUGAGGCAGAAGGGCCGCGUGCGGGAUGACGGCCUUCGGGUUAUAAACCGCGUUCAGCAGGGGCGGAGCUUGUGGUGACGGUACCUGCAGAAGAAGCACCGGCUAACUACGUG
rnacentral:rRNA from 1 species